GCGGAUGUGGUGGAAUUGGCAGACGCGCUAGCUUCAGGUGCUAGUGAUCGCAAGAUCGUGCGGGUUCAAGUCCCGCCAUCCGCACCA
rnacentral:tRNA from 1 species